rnacentral:rRNA from 1 species
GUGGGGAAUUUUGGACAAUGGGCGCAAGCCUGAUCCAGCAAUGCCGCGUGCAGGAAGAAGGCCUUCGGGUUGUAAACUGCUUUUGUACGGAACGAAAAGGCUCUGGUUAAUACCUGGGGCUCAUGACGGUACCGUAAGAAUAAGCACCGGCUAACUACGUGCCAGCAGCCGCGGUAAUACGUAGGGUGCAAGCGUUAAUCGGAAUUACUGGGCGUAAAGCGUGCGCAGGCGGUUUUGUAAGACAGACGUGAAAUCCCCGGGCUCAACCUGGGAAUUGCGCUUGUGACUGCAAGGCUGGAGUGCGGCAGAGGGGGAUGGAAUUCCGCGUGUAGCAGUGAAAUGCGUAGAUAUGCGGAGGAACACCGAUGGCGAAGGCAAUCCCCUGGGCCUGCACUGACGCUCAUGCACGAAAGCGUGGGGAGCAAACAGGAUUAGAAACCCCGGUAGUCC